rnacentral:rRNA from 1 species
AGAGUUUGAUCCUGGCUCAGAGUGAACGCUGGCGGUAGGCCUAACACAUGCAAGUCGAACGGCAGCACAGGAGAGCUUGCUCUCUGGGUGGCGAGUGGCGGACGGGUGAGGAAUACAUCGGAAUCUACUCUGUCGUGGGGGAUAACGUAGGGAAACUUACGCUAAUACCGCAUACGACCUACGGGUGAAAGCAGGGGACCUUCGGGCCUUGCGCGAUUGAAUGAGCCGAUGUCGGAUUAGCUAGUUGGCGGGGUAAAGGCCCACCAAGGCGACGAUCCGUAGCUGGUCUGAGAGGAUGAUCAGCCACAAUGGAACUGAGACACGGUCCAUACUCCUACGGGAGGCAGCAGUGGGGAAUUUUACACAAUGGGGGAAACCCUGAUGUAGCGACACCGCGUGAGCGAAGAAGCCUUUUGGGGUGUAAAGCUCUGUCAGCAGGGACGAAAAAAAUGACGGUACCUGCAGAGGAAGCAUCGGCUAACUACGUGCCAGCAGCCGCGGUAAGACGUAGGAUGCAAGCGUUGUCCGGAUUUAUUGGGCGUAAAGAGUUCGUAGGUGGUUUGUUAAGUCUGAUGUUAAAGACUGGGGCUCAACCUCGGAAAUGCAAUGGAUACUGGCAGACUCGAGUGCAGUAGAGGCAAGUGGAAUUCCAGGUGUAGCGGUGAAAUGCGUAGAUAUCUGGAAGAACACCGGUGGCGCAAGCGACU